AUCCAGCUGAUGAGUCCCAAAUAGGACGAAACGCAUGUCCUGGAU
rfam:Schistosoma curassoni strain Dakar, Senegal genome assembly, scaffold: SCTD_scaffold0004494